UUUGUAAAAGAUGAGCCUAUUUUUUCGCAUAAAUAGAUUGUAGGUAUUAUUAUUAAUAUUAUGAUCCUGACACCUGUGAUCUUGUUAAUUGGAGUUCUAUACACAUUGAAAUACUGCAUGGAUGCGGAACCAAUAAUAAAAACUAUUCUUGGUUUUCUGGCUGUGCCAAUUGCCUGUGUAAUCCUUUUUGUAUUGCGAGUCGAAACUGUACCAGAACGUUGGGCUUCCAUUCAAUGGUUUUGGAAAAUCACAGAUACUCUGCUGCUAACCUUUUACUUCGUGUUUCCUGGUAUAUGGCUGAUCAUACUCUGUAGCUUCUUCUAUGAGUUAGAGAUCAAUAAAGCGGCGAAUGUAAUUUAAAGGACUUCCUUGGAGGACUCUUAAGGCACAAUUCCAUUCAUCAUCGACAUGAUUAGCUGAAAAUUUGUGGAAGAGCCUGUGAUGAAUGAAAACUCAUUGGAAAGUUUGCCUCUGGCAAGCUCCACUAAUAAGACACAUUGUCUAGCCAAAGAGACCGAAAGUGCAUAUAUUCCCAUUUGCAUCUUUGGCUGCAGCGACGGAAGCGCCAGCGAAAAGUAAAAGAUGCCGACGACUAAAAAUCGAAAAGAAAAAAAAAGAGAAUAAAGAUGGGCUGAGGACCUGGGCCGUUGGUCCCUGGUCCCUCGUUCCUGGACCCUUAAGCCUGGCCCUGUUUUGUUUGCCCGGCGCUUCGAGUGUCCCCUAGACGGCGCAGAGAGCACUUGUUUGGAUUUAUAUUUCGGUUUGCUUAGGUCCGAGGACCCGGCUAAAGUGCCAGGCAAUCAAAAACAAAUUAUGAGUGCUACAAUUUGCAGAGGGAAUGCGGAUCGUAAUGGGAUCGAAAUGGGAUAAGGAAUGGGCUCUGGAAUGGGCUCUGCCGAUGGUCGGGGGCAGCCCCUUAUCGCAGGCUUAUCACUGUUUAUGGGGCCAACUAAUGCACUUGGCCUGCAGUCGUUGCCUUUUAACGUUGGCAUUGAACUUUCGCCGAAGGAAUCGGGCCCAGGCCUGGCCCGAAACAAUAGCACACUCCACUGACCCACUUGGCCGGAGAAGAGGCGGCCUAAUCACGGCUAGCGAAUCCUAUAUCAAUAAUUGACUUGAAAGCAAACAAUUUAUGAUGACCUAAGCCCAAACAAAGAGCGAAAAGGGUGCGGUAAUCAGGGGAGGGAGGAAGGGGCCCCCCAACAAACUGGAGAUUGGCCAAAUGGAUAAGGCCAACUCAGCGCCAUGGCCCAAAAGCGAUGACGAAGGAGAUGAUGGAGCCGAUAGCACAAACGAUGAACGAUAGAGCACGUCGACCCACACACAACUAAUGGGGAAAGUCCGGGUGGCGGGGGCCGGGCCGGCGAUGACUGGCAAAGGAUGGAUGAAGUCGCAAAGUCGUUGUUGUGUUGCUGCAAUGGAUGACCUUUGGAGAGCCCCCCGCCGUCAUCCCAAGCUCCCAAGUGAAAACCUCUCGAGAGCACAGCGCCAGGAAAAAAUGGCAAAUUCCAAAUGGAAAAAGCAAAUCAAAUAAAUAUCUUAUGGGUAAACAUUAUUGGCGGGGCCAAAACAAAAACAAAAGGCAAGCCAACUGGGUCAGCAAGUCAAGGACCAGUCAGUCAGUCAGUUAGUCGUUCAAUCUGCCAGACUGUCAGUAUGGCAGCUACCCUCGGGAAUUGGAAGAGCCCGAUUCGGUUCGAUGAAAUUCAGGCAAAAUCAUGGACAGCAGCAAACAAGUGCAUGCAUUCUGGAACUGCAAAUCAACCUAAUGAUGACUCGCUUUUCCGCUGCUGCACUUUCUGCAGCCUGGCUUGGCCCCUUAAAACUGCUUACUGGCUUACUGACAACGCAACUUGUUCUCGAGUUCUCCAUCAUCGGCUUGUAUCUGCGAUGGAGUUGCCGUUUGCUGCCGCUUUUCAGCUGACUCACUUAUGUAAUAGCCAAAUUGGCAUCAACAUAUAUAUUAUAUCCUUUGGAUGGGCUUCAGGACUAGGAUGGGCUGCUAAUAAGAUUACCCCUUAACAAUAUCGGCCAUGAUGGCCGGAAAAUUGCGUAGUCAUAACUAUUAGUACAAGGCUUUAGGAAAUCCCAAAAAUUUAAUCGGUAAAGCACCAAUAAAUAUUAGAAUUUAAGAGGGUAAAGUGGAACAUAAAUUUUCGGGGAAUCGCAGAGUAGCAGCCCAAAGCCAACUGCAGUUUCAAGGAUCUGAACUCAUUAUCUGUUGCCAACUCCACCCAACAAGCCUGACCAGGCGUCUGGCCAAUAUCUUUUGUUAUCCAAGUGCCAAACUGCUAAGUCCACAUUAAUUACGUGUAUCUCAAACAAUAUACGAGAUGCGAUGGCCAAGACACAAGCCCCAAAGGGGCCAACAUGGCUAAUCAGGUCCGUGGCUGCCCGGCAUUGUUCCCUGUAUUCACUGUACCGUUUGCCGGGACUGUCUGACAUCAUUAAGACCACAUAUCCACGUAUCUACGACGGAUCCACUAUCCACUCGACGCAGUGCCAGUGGCCAACUAAUAACCGCCGACGAUGAGAAUGUGAAUGAAGAAGGCGCCUCACAGUGUGAGAAAUUGUCCAUAUGGUUCUGGUUUACCUUCCCUAUAAGUAAUAGUAAUUCUUCUCUUUUUUUUCAGUGUCCUUGGUCGAUGAGACGUCAACGCAUAGCGCCACUUAAGCGAAGACGCUGUGCGUCAAGCAGCGCCACUGAGUCCGGCGGGAGGCAGCCAGGCAGGAUCGGUGGAGAGGGUGAGACCGCAGCCGACGGGCUUUGAGCCUGCGGUCGGUGGAGGGGCAAUGGAAACUCUUGCUGCUUGUAAGCUGUCAAACUCGGAAAUUUGCAAUGACAGCCAACAUUGCCAGAGCGCAGAUAAGCGGCGAAAUGAACGCUGCACAAACUAAAAACUCAUUGUCAGGCGCUGUCUGUUUGCCAGCCGACCAACCGACCAUCCAGGCAGCCAACCAACCGACCGACCAUCGGACCGAUCUAAACCGCUUUGGGGGUGCGUUGCUGCAUAAUAAACUGCUGGCCAGGACCAGGACUCCGCAGCCGGAGACGGACGGGAGGCACACAGGCGGUAUCCAGGAGGUAGCUGGGAACAAUAGGGCGCCAGUCGGGGAGCUGGUGCUUUGGCGGCAAAAGACUGCAAAGAAACAAUAAACACACGAAAAUAAUGUAAUGAGUUGCAGCGAAUGGAGGACAAGUGCAGCUUUGGCUGCCUCGUUGGGGGGCACAGUGGCUCAGUCUACAUUUCUUGAGAAAACAUACAUGAACCUAAUAAAUCAUUUUUGA